rnacentral:rRNA from 1 species
UUUGGGGAAUACUUGGAAAUGGGCGCAGCCUGCUCCAGCGCUGCCGCGUGUGUGGAGAAGGCCUGCGGGCUGUAAAGCACCCUCAGUUGUGAAGAUAAGCCGCGGGCUAAUACCCCUCGGUCCUGACGUUACUGACAGAAGAUGCACCGGCUAACUCCGUGCCAGCAGCCGCGGUAAUACGGAGGGUGCGAGCGUUAAUCGGAACACUGGGCGUAAAGGGCGCGUAGGCGGUUUGGUAAGUCGGGUGUGAAAGCCCCGGGCUCAACCUGGGAACUGCAUUCGAUACUGCCUGGCUAGAGUAUGAUAGAGGGAAGCGGAACCCGGGUGUAGCGGUGAAAUGCGUAGAUAUCCGGAGGAACACCGGUGGCGAAGGCGGCUUCCUGGAUCAAUACUGACGCUGAGGCGCGAAAGCGUGGGGAUCAAACAGGAUUAGAUACCCUGGUAGUCCACGCCCUAACGAUGAGAACUAGCCUUGGAGGAGUUGGUCUUCCAGUGGCGCACUACGCGAUAAUUCUCCCCUGGGAGUAUCCUAUGAUUCCGCCCC